AUGACCUUGGUCAAGGCGGUCCUUACGGCGGUGGCCAUUUACCACAUUACACCGCUUGACCUUCCGGUGGAGGUUCUCAAGGUGAUCGAUAGGUUGCGGCGGGCCUACCUUUGGGCUGGAACUGACAAAGUAACUGGUGAAAAGUGCAAAGUAAACUGGGAGUUGGUCUGCAGGCCAAAAGAAUUUGGAGGCCUUGGCAUUUUGCACCUUGGCAAGUUUGCCGCUGCCCUCCGUUGCGAUGGCUUUGGCUCGAAUGGGAUGACCCACCACGUGCGUGGCGCGGUAUGGGGACACCUUGCACGUCCGAUGACCAUAACCUGUUUGCGGCUGCGACUAAGGUCACGAUUGGUGAUGGAGAGAAGGCUUCCUUCUGGGAGUUACCUUGGCUGGAGGGUAUUAGGCCAAAAGACAUGGCUCCAAACAUUUUUGAGAUUUCAUGCAAGAAGGGGGUAUCUGUUGCCACGGCCUUGA
rnacentral:rRNA from 1 species